rnacentral:lncRNA from 1 species
CAGUCACAAACAAUUUGAAGGUAUUAUAAGGAUUGAGGAUCGGAUUAUCGACCAUAUAUGAGAACAGUACAGUUAUGGCAAGGAAAUGUUAAGGAUGAUAAAUAAGUUUUUGAGAGUACAUGAGGUUAGAGUGGCUACUGAUACUGUUAUUCUCCUAUAUACAAAACUGGGUGCCGAAGUUGGGUAAGUUUACAGUAAACCCAACUUCUUGCCAUCCUCAAGUUGUAACUAGGUGAGGACCAAUGCUAGGAAGCACGCACGAAUAAGUUACAUAUUUUAUGCUGUCUACGAGCACGACUACAAAAAUCCGAGAAAGUGACUUUGGGGUGAUUACGCCAUCAACAUCACUGUCGCCAGCCUCUCUAGGAUCAACAAGGACAGA